UACGGGGGGGGCAAGCGUUGUUCGGAAUUACUGGGCGUAAAGGGUUUGUAGGUGGCUUGCUAAGUCAGACGUGAAAUCCCUCAGCUUAACUGGGGAACUGCGUCUGAGACUGGUGAGCUUGAGUGCAGGAGAGAAGAGUGGAAUUCCACGUGUAGCGGUGAAAUGCGUAGAGAUGUGGAGGAACACCAGUGGCGAAGGCGACUCUUUGGCCUGUAACUGACGCUGAGGCGCGAAAGCGUGGGGAGCAAACAGG
rnacentral:rRNA from 1 species